rnacentral:rRNA from 1 species
UCUAAGUAAAAUCUUAAAAUAAUUAAUUAAAUAAAACAAUUUAACAAUAAUUUAUAUUAACUAAUAAAAUAUAAGUACUAUACAGGAAUAAUUAAAUUCAAUAAAGUAGUGGUAGUAUCACGUACCUUGUGCAUUAUGGUUUUACAAGCUAAAAAUUAAACAUAUAAUCCCGAAUUCUGCGCGAGCUGCCAUAUUAUUGCUAAGAGCCCACUAUUAGUUGUGGCACCAACUUUAGAAAAUAAUAUGACAGAGGCUACAUACCAAGCGCGCCAGAAAAUUGCUGGUUCUCUAUAAAAGUUAUUAAUUAAAACAUGUAAUAUAUAUUGCAGUGUAAGAUUUCAGAGGAUAAGCCCUGUAAUCAAAAGCAAUUACAAUUUUUAAAAUAAUAAUGUAGGCUUAAAAACAGCCAUAAAAAAUACUUUAUCGUAAAGUAUAAAAAAUUCAUGUCUAACUAUGCAUCAUAAAAUAGAGAUUUAGGUUAAAUACUUCAACUUAAAAUUUUAUGUAAAAAUAAGUAUUAGAAAAUUUAUUAUGUAAUAACUAUCACAAAAACAAAAUUAUAACAAAAAAAAACUUAUAAAGGAACUCGGCAAACUCUUAUUUCGACUGUUUAACAAAAACAUUGCCUCUUGUAAAUAAAUUAAGAGGUAAUUCCUG